UGGAGAGAGAGGUUUGGAGAGAAGGAGACAGGGAUGGAGAGAGAGGUUUGGAGAGAAGGGGACAGGGAUGGAGAGAGAGGUUUGGAGAGAAGGGGACAGGGAUGGAGAGAGAGGUUUGGAGAGAAGGGGACAGGGAUGGAGAGAGAGGUUUGGAGAGAAGGGGACAGGGAUGGAGAGAGAGGUUUGGAGAGAAGGGGACAGGGAUGGAGAGAGAGGUUUGGAGAGAAGGGGACAGGGAUGGAGAGAGAGGUUUGGAGAGAAGGGGACAGGGAUGGAGAGAGAGGUUUGGAGAGAAGGGGACAGGGAUGGAGAGAGAGGUUUGGAGAGAAGGGGACAGGGAUGGAGAGAGAGGUUUGGAGAGAAGGGGACAGGGAUGGAGAGAGAGGUUUGGAGAGAAGGGGACAGGGAUGGAGAGAGAGGUUUGGAGAGAAGGGGACAGGGAUGGAGAGAGAGGUUUGAGAGAAGGGUACAG